GCGGGUGUAGUUUAGUGGCAGAACGAGGGUCUCCAAAACCCUUGGCGGGAGUUCGAUUCUCUCCACCCGUG
rnacentral:tRNA from 2 species